UACGUAGGGGGCAAGCGUUGUCCGGAAUUAUUGGGCGUAAAGAGCUCGUAGGUGGCGUGUCGCGUCUGCCGUGAAAGCCCAUGGCUUAACUGUGGGUCUGCGGUGGAUACGGGCAGGCUGGAGGCUGGUAGGGGCAAGCGGAAUUCCUGGUGUAGCGGUGAAAUGCGCAGAUAUCAGGAGGAACACCGGUGGCGAAGGCGGCUUGCUGGGCCAGUUCUGACGCUGAGGAGCGAAAGCGUGGGGAGCGAACAGG
rnacentral:rRNA from 1 species